rnacentral:rRNA from 1 species
AUUGAACGCUGGCGGCAGGCCUAACACAUGCAAGUCGAGCGAGCGGCGGACGGGUGAGUAAUGUCUGGGAAACCGCCCGAUGGAGGGGGAUAACUCUUGGAAACGGUUGCUCAAACCCCAUACUAUCUUCUCUGCCCAGAUGGGAUUUGCUAGUUGGUGGGGUAACGGCUCACCAAGGUGACGAUCCCUAGCUGGUCUGAGAGGAUGACCGGCCACACUGGAACUGAGACACGGUCCAGACUCCUACGGGAGGCAGCAGUGGGGAAUAUUGCACAAUGGGCGAAAGCCUGAUGCAGCCAUGCCGCGUGUGUGAAGAAGGUCUUCGGAUUGUAAAGCACUUUAAGUUGGGAGGCGUUACCGACAGAGUAAGCACCGGCUAACUACGUGCCAGCAGCCGCGGUAAUAC